GCAGGUGNACCCGAGUGGNCAAAGGGGGAGGGCUCAAGAUCCUCUGCAUAGCGCUUCGCAGGUUCGAAUCCUGCCGCCUGCACCA
rnacentral:tRNA from 1 species